ACAGAAUCUGAAAUCUAAGCCGCUAAAAUUAGUUAGAGGUGAGGCUUCGUUCCCAGAAUCUUAUCCUUCCCGUUCUAAACCACACGCUUUCCUUUGGCCCAUUCUCACCGUACUAUAAACAGCAGCAGAAGCUGGCAACUUCAAAGGUUGUUCAGGAACCCCUCUGAAGCUCUGCUUUUCAUCAAGACUUCUACUUCAUUAAUGGCUUUGUCUAGCCCACAACUUCGGAGGUUUCUCUUAAACCACAGGGGAUACUGCAACUACGAAUUGAACAACAAGGCCACAAAAAACACCGUCGCGGUUAAGGGUGGGGGAGGCAGAUGCUGCUCAGCCAUUGCAAUUGAUGCCCCAUCUUCUUUGACAGGUGUUUCCAGCAUUAGAUGGGGUUCUUCCCUUGUACAAGGUGUCCGCGAAGAGAUGGAGGAUGAUGUCAUUAUUGUUCGGUCAGAGGAUCUUGCUGGCUUCUCUUAUGCAGCUGUUUUCGACGGCCAUGCUGGUUUCUCUUCUGUCAAAUUUCUCAGAAAUGAGUUGUACAAAGAAUGCGUGGCAGCAUUACAAGGUGGACUUUUACUGAGGGAGAAGGGGUUUGACACAGUAAAGAAGGCGUUAGAAGAGGCUUUUGAAAGUGCUGAUAUGAAACUCUUGAACUGGCUUGAGACGAGCGCUGAGGAGAGGGAUUCUGGCUCAACAGCUACUGUGAUCCUAAUUGGAGAUGAUACAUUGUUCAUCUCUCACGUUGGUGACUCAUGCGUGGUGCUGUCACGAUCUGGAAAAGCAGAAGUGUUAACCAGUUCUCAUCGUCCAUAUGGAAGCAACAAAGCGUCUCUCGAAGAAAUCAGGCGUAUCAGAGAAGCAGGUGGAUGGAUAAGCAAUGGCAGAAUUUGUGGAGACAUUGCAGUGUCACGUGCUUUUGGUGACGUGCGGUUUAAGACCAGGAAGAAUGAGAUGCUGGAGAAGGGAGUUGAGGAAGGCAGGUGGUCCCAAAAGUUCAUUUCCAGGAUACAAUUUACUGGAGACUUGGUUACAGCAUGUCCUGAUGUUUCCCAAGUUGCUUUGGAAUCAGAUGCUGAAUGUGUAAUAUUAGCAUCUGAUGGAUUGUGGGAUUACGUAAACAGUUCAGAUGCAGUUGAUUUUGUUAGAAAUCAACUUCGAGAACAUGGAGAUGUGCAGAGAGCUUGUGAAGCCCUUGCUCAGACGGCACUGGAACGAGGGUCACAAGAUAACAUCAGCAUUGUGGUUGCUGAUUUAGGGUACGUGCUGGCUCUUCUGGUUUAUGUCCGUUCUCGUCAUUUUGGUCUUCCUAACCUAGAAGUAAAAUGAGAUGGCUUUAAAUGAGGGCGGUAACCAACCAAAAAAUGUCUCUCUUGGUAGCUCUUACUAACUCAUCUAGUACAAGGUUCAAUGACACUAACCAGACAAGAUUGAUCACAUGAAAGACGGACCGACUGGGCAAGCGUGCCUCUCCGGCAGCAAAAUUUGGUAUAUGAGUUGGCCCAAGCUUUGGCUACAAUUGGCGCAGUUUCAAUUGGGAUAUGGAUGACAUCUCAACUCAACUUGUAAAAUGAAAUGAAAUUAUCCACGCCUGUAUUGUAUACACGCCUGUAUAUUCCAACUGCUAACCGUCGACUCGUUUGGCUUAUUAUACUUAUACGGAGUAAUUACUUUUUUGCCUAAUACUUGUGUAGAUAUAAGAGAAUGAUCCUACUCCCUAGCAAGAAUUGGAAUCCCAUUUUCUAAGACCAUAUUACGUACA